rnacentral:rRNA from 1 species
GAUGAACGCUGGCGGCGUGCCUAAUACAUGCAAGUCGAGCGAACAGACGAGGAUCUUGCGCCUCUGACGUUAGCGGCGGACGGGUGAGUAACACGUGUAUAACCUACCUAUCAGACUGGUAUAACUUCGGGAAACCGGAGCUAAUACCGUAUAAUAUAUUGAACCGCAGGGUUCAAUAGUGAAAGACGGUUUUGCUGUCUCUUAUAGAUGCAUCCGCGCCGGAUUAGCUAGUUGUUAAGUUAACGGCCUACCAAGGCAACGAUGCGUAGGCGACCUGAGGGGGUGAUCGGCCACACUGGAGCUGAGACACCGUCCAGACUCCUACGGGAGGCAGCAGUAGGGAAUGUUCCGCAAUGGGCGGAAGCCUGACGGAGCGAGGCCACGUCAGUGACGGAGGUCUUCGGAUCGUAAAAAUCUGUUAUUGGGGAAGAACAAAUGUGUAAGUAACUAUGCACGUAUUGACGGUAACUAAUCAGAAAGCCCCGGCUAACUACGUG